rnacentral:misc_RNA from 1 species
AGGAGAUUGAUGAAGCUUUUCGUCAUGUUCCAGAUCCACCUCCAAGCACACAAUCAACUGGUACAAAUCAAGAAGCGCAAGUGACAUCAACAUCAAAUGUUCAGCCACCAGCUCAAACGCAAGCUCUUCAACCUGCAGCAUCUGUUCCUACUGGUGCCAUUUCCUCUGUGGGAACUUUAACGCAAUCCCGAUUUCGCUGGUAUCAUGUUGUUUUUGCUGUAGGAUUACUGGCAG